CACGUAGGGGGCAAGCGUUGUCCGGAUUUAUUGGGCGUAAAGAGCUCGUAGGCUGUUCGAUAAGUCGGGUGUGAAACCUCCAGGCUCAACCUGGAGACGCCACCCGAUACUGUCAUGACUAGAGUCCGGGUAGGGGAGCGUGGAAUUCCUGGUGUAGCGGUGAAAUGCGCAGAUAUCAGGAGGAACACCAGCGGCGAAGGCGGCGCUCUGGGCCGGUACUGACGCUGAGGAGCGAAAGCGUGGGUAGCAAACAGG
rnacentral:rRNA from 1 species